AGUAAGGGGGCUGGGGGGGGUCCUUGGAGAGCUCCUUUGGGCAGAGACAGAGAAGUGGGUUAGGUUGGAACAUCAGGGGUAGAGAGCAUCCCCCACCCCAAUAAUAGAAAAGGUCACAAAACUACUCACCUUCAGCAAGCCACGUCUCCUGGAAGUGACUGAGAUCCUGGAAGAGAUCUGAGGAGUGAAUAAUGGAAUUGGAGGUAUGUCGGGAGAGUUGAACACAGAAGCUACUGGAUUCACAUUUUAUGUUGUUUUUCCUUAAAACGAGGUUGUAAACAUUGCAAAGCACUUAUUUAUUUAUUUAUUUGAAUAGAUGAGAUGAAGAAGCAAAUUUGAGAAUCCUCAGGGAAGAGCGCUGCCCAUCACCAGAAGCUGGAUUCUGAGGCCACAGGAUGAGAAAUGACAGCUUCCCUCAGGGUAGGACUCAGCCACCAUGUCACUGGAGUCAGGGCCGGCCUGCCCUCCGCCACCUACAAAGAAGGGGUUCAAGCAGGGUGCUCAGUGCUCCCCUCCUCAUUCCUGCACCCACAUGGGGGAGGCCAGGCAUCCGGAGACACUUGAAACACUGGCCUUCAAGAACUGCCAACGGGCACAGUUGGUUAAGUAUCUGCCUUCAGCUCAGGUUCUGAUCCCAGGGUCCUGGGAUCCAGUCCUGCCUAGAGCUUCCUGCUCAGCAGGGAGCCUGCUUCUCUCUCUCCCUCUCCUGCUCCUCCUGCUUGUGCAACUGUGCUCUCUCUGUCAAAUAAAUAAAUAAAAUCUUUUUUAAAAAAUAAAAGAACAGGCCAAGAGUCAG